UGAUCAUGGCUCAGAACGAACGCUGGCGGCGUGCCUAAUACAUGCAAGUCGAGCGCGGGAAGCGAGUGGAUCCCCUUCGGGGGUGAAGCUCGUGAAACGAGCGGCGGACGGGUGAGUAACACGUGGGCAACCUGCCUGUAAGAUCGGAAUAACCCCGGGAAACCGGGGCUAAUGCCGGGUAAUACUUUCUUUCGCAUGAAGGAAAGUUGAAAGAUGGCUUCUUGCUAUCACUUACAGAUGGGCCCGCGGCGCAUUAGCUAGUUGGUGAGGUAACGGCUCACCAAGGCGACGAUGCGUAGCCGACCUGAGAGGGUGAUCGGCCACACUGGGACUGAGACACGGCCCAGACUCCUACGGGAGGCAGCAGUAGGGAAUCUUCCGCAAUGGACGAAAGUCUGACGGAGCAACGCCGCGUGAACGAUGAAGGUCUUCGGAUCGUAAAGUUCUGUUGUUAGGGAAGAACAAGUACCGUGCGAAUAGAGCGGUACCUUGACGGUACCUAACGAGGAAGCCCCGGCUAACUACGUGCCAGCAGCCGCGGUAAUACGUAGGGGGCAAGCGUUGUCCGGAAUUAUUGGGCGUAAAGCGCGCGCAGGCGGUUCCUUAAGUCUGAUGUGAAAGCCCACGGCUCAACCGUGGAGGGUCAUUGGAAACUGGGGAACUUGAGGACAGAAGAGGAGAGUGGAAUUCCACGUGUAGCGGUGAAAUGCGUAGAUAUGUGGAGGAACACCAGUGGCGAAGGCGACUCUCUGGUCUGUUUCUGACGCUGAGGUGCGAAAGCGUGGGUAGCAAACAGGAUUAGAUACCCUGGUAGUCCACGCCGUAAACGAUGAGUGCUAGGUGUUAGGGGGCUUCCACCCCUUAGUGCUGAAGUUAACGCAUUAAGCACUCCGCCUGG
rnacentral:rRNA from 1 species